GACAGAGGGUGCAAACGUUGUUCGGAAUUACUGGGCAUAAAGCGCACGUAGGUGGUCCGCUAAGUCGCGUGUGAAAUCCCUCGGCUCAACCGAGGAAUUGCGGGCGAUACUGGCGGGCUAGAGAUCGGGAGGGGUGAGUGGAACUCCAGGUGGAGCGGUGAAAUGCGUAGAUAUUUGGAGGAACACCGGUGGCGAAAGCGACUCACUGGCCCGACACUGACACUGAGGUGCGAAAGCUAGGGUAGCAAACGGG
rnacentral:rRNA from 1 species